rnacentral:tRNA from 1 species
GGGGAUUUAGCUUAGUUGGUAGAGUAUUUGCCUUUCAUGCACAAGGCCAUGGGUUCAAACCCCAGCACCACCA